rnacentral:lncRNA from 1 species
CUGUUACAUGAGUUUUUUCUGGAUGUGUGUUUUCAGCCACCCCAGCACCAACUGCCUCCACACCUCCACACCAUCUCACCUCUACUGUAUCUGUGACAACCAGCAGCGUAGUAUCCAUGGCAACUAACACCACGCUUGGGCCAGCGUUUGACACAGUCAUCAGUCUGGACUCCACCUGUGAUGCUACUCAGGAUGCUGCAUGUUAUGGGGCUCUGGGAGGACCUGUGUAUCUGCAGCUGAUGAGGAACACCAGUGGGCAUACACUGAGCUUUCAUAAUGAACGUAAAGCCAUUUUUACACUCAGACCAUCCAAGACAGUGUUCUACAAGGACUACAACACCCCAUCAUUCCUUCAGAGGUGGCAGUUUGUUCCUGAUAACGGGACCCUGAUUAUAAACCCUGCAGAGAGGAAAGAUGCAGGAACAUACAGAGUGAGGAUCUUUAACAAGUCAACAGGGAAGAGUGUGGGAGAGCACACAGUACAGCUGAUCAUUGAAGGUAAAUCACUUCAUCUUGCUUCUUUUGCGUUAUUAGAUUUAACAUCUCCUGCACCGUCAUUCUGAACUCAAAACAGUGGGACACAGUGAAGUUUAGUGAGGAUCUCUAAAGGCGUCAAAAAGGACACAGUGCAGUUGAUGAUUGAAAGUAAAUAUCCUCAUCUGCUCUGCAAGGCGUUAAUAAGUUUGAAAAUCUGCCUCAGCAUCUGACUCACUGUAAUGGCAGUAAGUAAAGAGAGA